UACGUAGGGUGCAAGCGUUAAUCGGAAUUACUGGGCGUAAAGCGUGCGCAGGCGGUUUUGUAAGUCAGAUGUGAAAUCCCCGGGCUUAACCUGGGAACUGCAUUGGUGACUGCAUCGCUCGAGUAUGGCAGAGGGGGGUAGAAUUCCACGUGUAGCAGUGAAAUGCGUAGAGAUGUGGAGGAAUACCGAUGGCGAAGGCAGCCCCCUGGGUCAAUACUGACGCUCAUGCACGAAAGCGUGGGGAGCAAACAGG
rnacentral:rRNA from 1 species